CAUCUACAAACAUAGGACACAAGCCUUACCCUAGUGGGAUCAAAGUCAUCCAACCCCAUUUUCUAAGCCCCCGACACAAUCACGUUACCCCUUACCCUCAUUUUUCCUGAAUUUGGAAGUCUCGCCACAAACUAGAAAACAUAACAUUGCGCCAAUAGGGUGAACUACCCAGAUAAGCUAAAAUGGAGAAUGUACAUGAAGACACCUUGAGAACAUUGAG
rnacentral:lncRNA from 1 species